GUUGACUGGAGGUUGUGAUAGGGUUGGAGAGUUGACUGGAGGUUGUGAUAGGGUUGGAGAGUUGACUGGAGGUUGUGAUAGGGUUGGAGAGUUGACUGGAGGUUGUGAUAGGGUUGGAGAGUUGACUGUAGGGCUGGAGGUUGUGAUAGGGUUGGAGAGUUGACUGUAGAGCUGGAGGUUGUGAUAGGGUUGGAGAGUUGGCUGGAGGUUGUGAUAGGGUUGGAGAGUUGGCUGGAGAUUGUGAUAGGGUUGAGAAGUUGGCUGGAGGUUGUGAUAGGGUUGGAGAGUUGGCUGCAGAGCUGGAGGUUGUGAUAGGGUUGGAGAGUUGGCUGGAGGUUGUGAUAGGGUUGGAGAGUUGACUGCAGGGCUGGAGGUUGUGUUAGGGUUGUAGAGUUGGCUGGAGGUUGUGAUAGGGUUGGAGAGUUGACUGCAGAGCGCAUUGUCCUCUCAUUCAUUGUCCUCUGAGAAAAAUACCUUCAUCCUGUUAUUUCAUGCUAGUUGGUUUGAGAGGAAAAAACAAUGAGGGAGACUUGAGUCUUGUGACAGGGAUAUGCUAAAACUACUUAAAGCCAUAUCCUGUUUUUAAUGCAUGUGGUUGUUUUGUAGGCUUGAUGUUUGCCCCCCUCUUCUCUGUAACCUCUGUGUUUACUUCCUCUAUGAGUUUACUUUAUUCUAGUGGAUUUGGUCCCAAAGUUGGGUUUCCUCUCAAAGUUUGUGUUUUGGUCCUGGCUAGGAAUCUGGGCCUGUGAGACAUUAUCUGGACUUACUCAGUUAGUAUGGGUUAGCAUCAGGGGUGCAUUUAUUAGUCGGAGUCUGUUGCAAAAAGUUUUGCAAUGAAACCUGUUUACUGUUUGGUUCCUAGAGUAAACCGGCAAAAUGGAACAAAACAGAGAGGACUACCUGAAUUUGUACAAUAGAAACUAGUUUUCAUUGAUAUAAGUUUUACAUUUGCAACGGAAUCCGACUGAUGAAUACACUCCAGCGUUUGAACUCCUUUGUGCUGUUUGUUAAGAGUCCUCAUCACUUCCGCUGCUUUUAUACAAUUUUAACUGAAGCUUGUGGCCACAAUGACAAAUAAUGAAACUUGAUGUAGGCCUAAUCAAUGUUUUACAUCCACAUUUGACAUUACAUGCUUGAUGACUGACGGUUGCCAUAGUUGUGCACUUUCAUGUGCUCUCGUCAAAACGCUAUGAGAUCUUGUGGAGGCUUCUGGAGAUGGCAUCUAGCUAGUCAAAACGCUAUGAGAUCUUGUGGAGGCUUCUGGAGAUGGCAUCUAGCUAGUCAAAACGCUAUGAGAUCUUGUGGAGGCUUCUGGAGAUAGCAUCUAGCUAGUCAAAACGCUAUGAGAUCUUGUGGAGGCUUCUGGAGAUAGCAUCUAGCUAGUCAAAAUGCUAUGAGAUCUUGUGGAGGCUUCUGGAG
ensembl:lncRNA